GACAGAGGGUGCAAACGUUGUUCGGAAUUACUGGGCGUAAAGCGAGUGUAGGCGGUCUGCUAAGUCGGAUGUGAAAGCCCCGGGCUCAACUCGGGAAGUGCACUCGAAACUGGCAGGCUAGAGUAUCGGAGAGGUUGGUGGAAUUCUCGGUGUAGAGGUGAAAUUCGUAGAUAUCGAGAGGAACACCGGUGGCGAAGGCGGCCAACUGGACGAAUACUGACGCUGAGACUCGAAAGCGUGGGGAGCAAACAGG
rnacentral:rRNA from 1 species